CUCAGAUUGUUUCCUUCUCCAAGGUCAAUCCUGGUCCUUUGGUCUGGCCCAAGCCAAGCCUCCUAGAACCUCUGGCCUGGGUGGAGGAGGGCAGCAUCCCUGAGGUUUCCCCUUUCUGCUUCCUUUGGCCUUAAAGGGGCAGUGGAUCUCCACCCCUGGGCCUCCCUGGAGGUCCCCUAUAGGGCCUGUCCCUAGGAUGUGCCUUGGCCAGUGCCCUCCAAAGCCCACAUCCUACCUCCUCCUCCUGCUGGCUCCUGGCUCUGAGCUCACAGGGGUAGACUUUCUAGCACAAAGGGCAGCUCCAGAGAGUAUCCUGAGGACAGGUCAGGGUCACAAGAAGCUCAGUGGCCUCUUAAACCCACUCAGAGACAGGUAAAUGGAAGUCCUAGACACACACACACACACACACACACACACACACACCCCGGCACUGCCUCUGCAUGCUGGGCUUCACCUCCAUCCCUUAUCAGCCUGGAAGAGGGUCCUUACUGAGCCCUUAGUUCACUCAGAACCCAGACGGAGUCUAAUUGCUUUCGUUUCAGAUCAGAUGAAAAAUAAGGAGAGUAAAUGAACCAACCACGGGCCAGAUUCAGAGCUGGUUUGUGUCACAUGUUUUCCAGGAAACCACUCUUAUUCUAAUAUGGUAAACUCUCUCUGAAAGAGACAAAUGGGUGUGGGGGAAGCAGCCACCCAAAAGCUAUUUCCUGAUCCUGGCCACCAGACAGAGAACUUCGUUGUGACUGAGCAGAGUUGUCUCCUUCCCCAGGAGGGGGAAGCUCUCUCGUGCCAAGAAGAUGGGUCAAGGAGUGUCCACAAUGACUUUGUCUGUGGCCAUACCCGACAUUUCUGUAGCGUUGUCAUUCUCGGGACCUGUGGUGUGGCUCCUUUCGGGGGCAGUGAUUGUGAUUAUCUUUGCUGGUGUCACCUAUUUGGUGGUGCAGCACAUCAGGAAGGUACCUGGGCAAGGCUGGGCUGGGGCGGCACAGGGUCAGAGUGCACGGAGUAAAGUGAGGCCUGGGAAAGGCUGGGGUCAGCCAAGUGAGCUUGGGAGGCCCAGUCCCCUCACUCUCCUGACAUGCCCCUCUCUUCCAGGGCAAUAUGAAAGACUCCAAUAAAAUGAACUAACGAGAUCCUAUCCUGGCCAAGCAGAGGGGAAGUCCCCCUUACAAGACUGUAUUUUGAAAAAAUAAAAAUAAAAAGAAUGCAUUUUGAAUAACAACAAUGUAAAUUUGGAGGCCUCAUUUUAGUUUUUUAUUGCUUUUAUCUGCUUGAGCACACUGAUCAACCACUGAACUACUUUCUUCUAUUUUCCUCCAGUGAUAUAUAAAGGUUACAUUUUUGUGUUUAUGGCUUUCAUGGUUGGGAUUUCAGAGCACCGACACCAGAUGUUUUAAGUUUCUCUGGGGGAAUUUCAUUUGCAUCUAUGUUUUUAGCUACUUGUGAUAACUUGUUAAAUAUUAGAAAGAUAUUUUGCUUCUUUUGAAACAUUAUUAUACUCAAAACUAUAUUUCUUUUUUUUUUUUACUGUUUAAGGAAUUUUUUUUUUUUGGUACUGGAGAUCGAACUCGGGUCCUUGCGCAUGCCCAGCAGGCACCAAAACCACUGAGCUAAAUCCCCAGCCCUGUUUAAGGAAUUUUUAUUAAAGCAAGAAUUUUAUAACCCAAAUUAUGUUUCCGUGCUCAGUUAUCAAUUCUGUUACUUAAAACAGAACUGACAUCCUGAGCUAUUCCACAGUAAAGAAUUACAAAAUAGCACAAGGACCUGCGUUCGAUCCCUAGUACCAAAAAAAAAAAGAAUUACAAAAUUAAAGAAAGGAAUGCUUUAAAUUUUUGUACUUUGCUGAAAAUUCUUUUCCCAGGGUCUAUAAAACAUUAAUUUGUCAAAACUAUAUUCCUUUUUUUGUUUUGUUUUGUUUUGUGUGGUACCGGGGAUCGAACCUGGGACCUUGAGUUUGUGAGGCUUGAGCUUGCAAGGCAGGGGGCAGAACCACUGUGCUAAAUCCCCAGCCCCUCAAAACUAUAUUUCUAUAAACAGCUGCUGUAAAAAAUAAAACAUUGGAAGUUUAAAAAAAAAUUGGGGGCCCUCCAAAAAAUCAUUUUAAAAAUUGUUUUAAGUCACAAAAUUAUUGAGUGUCUA
rnacentral:lncRNA from 1 species